CCCACGGAGGUCCAAGCUCAGUCCUAAAAUUAGAAUUAGGCAUGUUGAAUUAGAUCAAGGUUUGGCAAAGAAGUUAUUCCUGCCUCCCUAUUUUCAACUCUCCAAAUAAACAAAGAAGCCACCCAAGGCAUGUGAUUCUUUCUUGGCAAGACUGCCUGCCCGGAUCAUUGACCAUGCUUGAGAAUCAGAGCCCUCUUCAGUGAGGUCCAGAGUUAUCCCACAGAUGCUGGCAUUGAGGCAGAUGAUGUGAAAUGCAGAUGAGAAGAACAGCCCUGAAGAGAAGGAAGUGAAUCGCUUUGACAAUGAGGGACGUCAGUGCAUGUGUGGUACAGAGACAUCGUUAUGUCCAUAACACCCCCAAGGGAAGUGUGCGAAGGGAUCAGAGAGCAGAAAUGCUUGACUGAA